GCGGGUAUAGUUUAGUGGUAAAAGUGCGAUUCGUUCUAUUAAAGCUAACGAUGCGGGUUCGAUUCCCGCUACCCGC
rnacentral:tRNA from 1 species